rnacentral:lncRNA from 1 species
AAAAAAAUGCAAUUCGAGGAGCCAUCAAGCUAUCUGUUCUUAGAGAAAAAUUUAUGGAAGUUCCACCAAAUGCAUCUGAAGUUGAACUAGAUCGACAUGCUAGAGCAUAUGCUCUUUAUGUUCUAUGUUCGUCCUUAUUCAGUAGUUCUUCUAAGGGGGAUGUUGAUACUCUCCAUCUUCCAUUGCUUUAUCAUGUUGAAGAAAUAAA